UACGGAGGAUCCAAGCGUUAUCCGGAAUCAUUGGGUUUAAAGGGUCCGUAGGCGGCCCUGUAAGUCAGUGGUGAAAUCUCCCGGCUCAACCGGGAAAUUGCCAUUGAUACUGCAGGGCUUUGAAUUACUAGGAAGUAACUAGAAUAUGUAGUGUAGCGGUGAAAUGCUUAGAGAUUACAUGGAAUACCAAUUGCGAAGGCAGGUUUACUACUAGUGGAUUGACGCUGAUGGACGAAAGCGUGGGUAGCGAACAGG
rnacentral:rRNA from 1 species